rnacentral:rRNA from 1 species
AUUGAACGCUGGCGGCAUGCCUUACACAUGCAAGUCGAACGGUAACAGGUUAAGCUGACGAGUGGCGAACGGGUGAGUAAUGUAUCGGAACGUGCCCAGUCGUGGGGGAUAACUGCUCGAAAGAGCAGCUAAUACCGCAUACGACCUGAGGGUGAAAGCGGGGGAUCGCAAGACCUCGCGCGAUUGGAGCGGCCGAUAUCAGAUUAGGUAGUUGGUGAGGUAAAGGCUCACCAAGCCGACGAUCUGUAGCUGGUCUGAGAGGACGACCAGCCACACUGGGACUGAGACACGGCCCAGACUCCUACGGGAGGCAACAGUGGGGAAUUUUGGACAAUGGGCGCAAGCCUGAUCCAGCCAUGCCGCGUGCGGGAAGAAGGCCUUCGGGUUGUAAACCGCUUUUGUCAGGGAAGAAAAGGUUCUGGCUAAUACCUGGGACUCAUGACGGUACCUGAAGAAUAAGCACCGGCUAACUACGUG